rnacentral:rRNA from 1 species
UACGUAGGGUGCAAGCGUUAAUCGGAAUUACUGGGCGUAAAGCGUGCGCAGGCGGUUAUGUAAGACAGUUGUGAAAUCCCCGGGCUCAACCUGGGAACUGCAUCUGUGACUGCAUAGCUAGAGUACGGUAGAGGGGGAUGGAAUUCCGCGUGUAGCAGUGAAAUGCGUAGAUAUGCGGAGGAACACCAGAUGGCACGAAGGCAAUCCCCUGGACCUGUACUGACGCUCAUGACACGAAAGGCGUGGGGAAGCAAACGAGGAUUAACGAAACCCUAGUCAGAUCC